rnacentral:lncRNA from 1 species
CCUUUGUAUAAUGGUGGCAUGAAGCGCUGGCAAAGUGCUUAGCUUAUCAUGCUAACUCAAUCAGUCCCCUGAAACUUCUAUUGAUUAGACGCCCUUCCUUUCCCCUGCUUUUGUAGGUGAGCUGAAAUCAACCAAAGCAUAUGAGAAAUGGGGCAAGAAGAUCUCUGAGAUAGAGCCUCCCACAAACCCAUUAGAGAGAAGAGUGAAGUAAGCUCACAUUCUUAACUUGCCUUCUGAUUACUGGCUUCUUCCGAUCGUAGGAAUUUUACAGUAUUUUCAGAGGAAACAGUUCAAUUCCUUCAUUUUCCCUUUGAAAAUCCUUCAAACCGAAAAGGCCAUACAUGUUAUCUACCAUCAUUUGCUCACUAUUGUUUUCGCCUCAAAACCAC